rnacentral:lncRNA from 1 species
AAAUGCAUUACACCUCCAGGGUGUUUAAAUAUGCAGAAAUAUACAGUUAUUCUUUUCCAUCUUUUAUACAAGUGAUGACUGAUUUCUAAUUUGUUAUAGGUUUAUGACAGAUUAAACAGACUUGGUGUAUCAUCAUCAUACUGUGUUGCAGUUGAUACUAUCACCAAACUUGGUAAACGGUAUACUGGUUUCCUGGUCAAAUUUUUAGAAGAAGGGAAGUUUAUCCGACUAAUAGGGGAUAACUUAAAUUUCACAGUUGGAACUAGUCAUGAAACAAAAAGUCAACACAAGC